GGUUGAUCCUGCCAGCAAUCAUAUGCUUGUCUCAAAGACUAAGCCAUGCAUGUUUAAGUAUAAGGGCAAUACAACGAAACUGCGGAUGGCUCAUUAUAUCAGUAAUAAUCUAUUUGAAAGAUGAAGUUAAUUGGAUAACUGUAGGAAUUCUAGAGCUAAUACAUGCGAAAUGUCUGGACCAGGGCAACUUGGGAAGGACGUGUUUACUAGAAAAGAAACCAAUUCGGGGCAUUCAACUUGGGGCAACUCAGGGUCCUGAAUAUUACUUGAAUGAUAGUAAAAGAUUGACACGA
rnacentral:rRNA from 1 species